rnacentral:misc_RNA from 1 species
UUUCCGUUGGUGAACCAGCGGAGGGAUCAUUACCGAGUUUACAACUCCCAAACCCCUGUGAACAUACCAUUUGUUGCCUCGGCGGUGCCUGCUUCGGCAGCCCGCCAGAGGACCCUAACCCUUGAUUUUAUACAGUAUCUUCUGAGUAAAUGAUUAAAUAAAUCAAAACUUUCAACAACGGAUCUCUUGGUUCUG